rnacentral:sRNA from 1 species
GAAAUCGGCGGCCACCCGGCACGGGCGCCUGGAGGUAAAGGUACCCGGGGGUGGGGAAGGCCCCUGGCCGCGGCCGAGCUCCCUGCCACCGGCCCUGUCCUGCUUGCCGCCCCAGCGCCUGCGACGCUUGGAUGCCCCCAGCUCCGGCCGCGCCAACCAGAAACUUUGCCCCUCGAAGUCCCCCGCCUGCCUGACCGCACCGUGAGGCGCCAAGUCGGCCGCGCGCCCCCCGGGGCCCCGGAACCCCGCGAGUCAUUGCCUGGCCGCCCCGUACCCCGCGCCCGCGGCGCCCGGUAGCCAGGAUGCGCUACGCGGACCCCUCGGCCAACCGGGAUUUGUUGGGGAACCGAACUUUGCUCUUCAUCUUCAUUUGCGCCUUUGCCUUGGUGACCUUGCUGCAACAGAUUCUGUAUGGCAGGAACUACAUUAAGAGAGGCCUCCAGUUUGGUUGGCAGAGUGGUGACCAGCUGACCAAUUGGACGGGGCUCUUUAAUGUCACGGAUGAUCCAGCAGUGCAGAGCGGCAGUGACUCCAGCUCCAGGUACUUUGAAUUUUAUGAGGGGCCUUUUGAAUAUAACUCCACAAGAUGCCUGGAGCUGAGGCACGAAAUAUUGGAAGUGAAGGUGCUGUCCAUGGUGAAGCAGUCAGAGCUGUUCGACAGGUGGAAGAGCCUCCAGAUGUGCAAAUGGGCGAUGAACAUCUCUGAGGCCAACCAGUUCAAGUAUCUAUGAUUCGUCUGUCCUCCCUUCUCCUUGUAUGAUUCUCCUCACUGCCACCUCUUCUGGUCUCCGUUGUCCUGCAAGGCCCAGCUCUCAGUGGGCAUCUUCCCCAGAGCAGGCCCUGACUGGGCUUAGGAAUCCGGGCAGUGGGGGGGAUCCGAUUCAACAUGCAGGCUGAGGCGGGCACCUUGCCCAGGUGCUAUCCUCCACCUUCUCUCCCUUAGUCCUUGCAGCAGCCUUGUGAGGUUGGUGGUGCCAUAUCCAGUACACAGCUGAGGUUCACUGAGGCUAUUAGCAGGGAAGCAUGUGUGGGCGGUCUCCAGCAGGCCUGUGUGAAGGUGCAUCACGCAUCCUCUAUGGCCUCCUGGUCCUCACCUCCCCUGUCCUGGGGCAGCGGCUCUGACCCAGUAGCUUCUCUCCUUCUCAGAGCAUUUGAGUUCUUCCAGCCUCCACGAGACAUUUGAGCCCUGCUGCAGAUUAUUUUAUAAAUGCUCUCUAACCAAAAUGAGCAGGUUAUAAACUUCCAGAGAGGUAAGAGCUGGAUCUUAAAGUUGUCCUGUGGGAACUCUGCAAAUAACAGAUGUCCAAAAAUUCUUUUUGAUGGAUGGUGAACUUUAGGGUCUUCUCCAUCUCUAAAGUUCUGUGAGCUUAUGGGAUUAUUUUAGUGCAGGUAGACCUUAUUUUAUGGAGUUGAUGUAAUCUGGCAAUUUGUGUCUAUACU